UACGUAGGUGGCGAGCGUUGUCCGGAUUUACUGGGCGUAAAGGGCGUGCAGGCGGUUUGUUAAGUGCAGGGUGAAAGCUCCCGGCUCAACUGGGAGAGGUCCUUGCAUACUGGCGAACUCGAGGGAGGCAGAGGAAAGUGGAAUUCCCGGUGUAGUGGUGAUAUGCGUAGAUAUCGGGAGGAACACCUGUGGCGAAGGCGGUUCUCUGGGCCUUACCUGACGCUGAGGAGCGAAAGCGUGGGGAGCGAACAGG
rnacentral:rRNA from 1 species